rnacentral:lncRNA from 1 species
AUGAAAAAGGCGGACUGCGAUCCUCAUGAUCCAGAGCCACUCCGGUCUGUUCAAACUGACCGCUGUGUUCUGCAGCCUGUUUGGCACCAAAGUCCGCCUGAAGAUUUAAUAUCAUUUCCAGGCGUUUCAUCGAUCGUCUGGAUGCAGGGGCUGUGGAGGACUGACCGGGGGGGCUCUCAGCAUCUGCAAAAGAUGAAACCAGAACAUGUCAGCAUUUGAGAUGACUGAACAUACUUUUGCUUUACAUGCUCAUAAAGAAACAGAGUGAAGCAUCAUUUGUGGUCAAUUUAAAGUAAAAGUCAGAUCGCGUUUUUUUUCUGGAGUUAACCCCUUUUUUAAUGCCGGGAUUAUAUAAAAGAUUUAUGUUAAUUGAAAAAAAAAACAGUUUAAAAAGCAGUUUGGAAAAAUUGAAAUGAGUAAGUGGAAUUCUUCUUGAGAACAGUCACCUCUGUGUUUUUGAUAUUUGAAUAAAGAGAUUCUUAUCUGCCACAAGGCUGCAUUUUCUGACUUCACAGAAGUAAGUGAAAACAAAAAAACCCUAUUUUUUCAAAAACCAAACACCCAUCUUUCCUGAAUUUUGACAUUCAGUACCACAGUGUUUAUGUUACUUAUUGUCCACUUUUCGGCAGCAGGAUUUGCACUCACAUCUCUACUAAACCGCACCAGAGUUCACUUGCAAGUAAAUCAAAACCCCCAUUUUUAUAAAAAAUAGUUUUUACUAUUGCUAUGCGUAGAAAAACAAUAAUUUUGUUGUGUUCUGAGAGUACAGUAAUCCCCCGCCCAUUCGCGGUUUAAUAUUCGCGCCCCGCCCAUUAGCGGGUGGCCGCAGAUGACGUGACGUCACAAGCAUGAGGCGCAGAACAGCGCUCAUUCUGCGAAUUUUGAGAAACGAUUUACUCUAUACUUUACUGUAAAGUAUUGUUUACGCGUUUAAGAUGAC